rnacentral:lncRNA from 1 species
GAGGACUUCAAGUCAGCCAGGAUCUUUUGCGCUGCCGUUGCCGAGGCUGGCCGAAGUGUCGCAGCCGAAGGCUCUAGUGUGCGGUACCCUGACGCGAAACAAACAUCGCUGCAAAGGUACUACGAGUUGUUCCCGCUUCUCUGCCUGGCCCUGUGGGUUAUGUUCAACAUUUCUCUCAGGACGUCGGAGGAGAAGCUGGUGACCGACUACGGGGUGCUGGUGCCGCUGCUAGGUUGGAUGUCGGUGUUCGCGCAGCCGAGGGCGCUGGGCAGACGAGUCGCACCGCCCGUGGAGCGUGUCGUGCGCACACUGCCCUGGGGCGCCCUGCUGCUUGUCGGAUGCCAGCUGGCCGCGCACGCAGCC